AUGGGUUUUCAUAAAGGCCAAGAGCAGAGCUUCUAUUCUGAGAGCGCGGGAACAACGCUGGUGGACACGGGGACCGGAGCCUCGACGGCUGAGUAGGGCUGCAUGCCUCCUGCCAAGCCCGCCCCCUCGACCAGCAACCAGGGGCUGCCCCGCGCCUUCCUGCAGAGCCAGCGCACCCUAUUCUACAUCCUGGACGACCGGCGGCGCGGCUGCUGCACUUGCGCGAGAUCGAGUCCCGCUGGCAGGGUGCCGACGCGCGAGCUGCCCCGCCGGGUGCUCCAGGGUCUGUGCCAGGUGGCCCUGGCCAGCAGCGAAUUGAUCUUCCAGCGCUUCGUGGCCGGCCUGUGCACCUCGCUGCUGAGGCUGACGACGGCCCCGGGCCCCAAGCGCGCCACGGCCCCCCAGGAGACCAGUCGCCGCUGCAGCUCCUGGUGUCGGUGCCCCCCUACUAGCCGCGACCUGUACUGGAGAGGAAGCCGCUGCCCCUGGGCGUGCUCGUUCUCCGGCCGGUCCCAGCAGCACGGGCCCUCAGCCCAGAGCAGCUGUGCCCCCGGUCCAGGAGGCGCCCUGCCCCGCGGAGACCUAGUAGCCCCACAGCGAGGCGCGGGAACGGAGCCCGAGUGCGGACGCAGGUACAGAGGCCUGCAGGCCCUGGAGGCUGACUCAGGGGAUGCCCGGCGGCCCCAUGCCCGAGGGGAACGUCGGAGGCUCACCAUCACCGGCGGCGUGGGCUGCGGCCUGCCGAUGCAGGUGAAGGAGCUGGAGCAGGAGGAGGUGCUGCUGCAGGGUUUGGAGAUGAUGGCGCGGGGCGGCGACUGGUACUAGCAGCAGCAGCAGCAGGAGUGCCGGAGCGCCAGCGCCGCCUGGGCCAAGCAGAGCCCGCGCCGACUUUGGGGCCGCGGGGAGCCCCCGCCCACUGCGGCGGGCCCGGGGCCUGGGGGAGCUGCUGGCUGUGGCCUGUGCCAGCCGGGCCCUGCCCAUUCCUCCUCCGGGCCCCCUUGCCCUGCCCUGACGUCCACCUCGCCCCGGGCUGGCAGCAGCAGACCAUCCUCAUGCCGAAGGAGCAGAACCGACUCCUCACCCAAGAGGUGGCCGAGAAGAGUGAGCGCAUCACGCUGCUGGAGCAGGAGGAGUCACGCUCAUUAAGCAGCUGUUAAGGCCCGUGCCCUGAGCCAGCAGGACGGGGACCUCUGGACUCCACCUUCAUCUAGCCGGUGUGAAGCCCAGCGAGACCCCAGGGCCGGCCUGGCACUCAGCCCUUCGAGAGCAGGCGCCCCGUCGCACUCAUCCUCUCUGUCUGGAGACCCCCGUCAGGCCCAGGCACAGUCCCUGAGUGGGCGCCUUCCUGCCCCCCUUGCCAUCCGGCUCCCCAGGCCUGCCCCAGGCUGACCUAGCGCUGAGCCCUGGACUCGGUUUUGGCCCCUGGUGCUGACAUGGGCUGGGGCUCACUUGAGUCAGCAUGGCCUGCAGCUGCUGCUGCCGCUGUCAGUGGACACGGGGGAAUCCCUCUACGAGUUAGCAGAUCUCUGGCUUCCCCAGCGGUUUCCAGCGGCUUCCAGCGGUGCCGCCCUGGGUCGCUUCUCCAGGGAAAGGCGCUGCUCACGCCAGGCUGCACCUGCGACAAUGGCCAGCAGAGGGCGCCGCGCGGCUGCGAUGCGGGUCCAAGGCCAGUUUUCCCGCUUCCCAGGACACCAGGACAGGGUGGCUGUCGCUUGGAUGGGAGCAGAUGGAGGGGGUGGGGAUGGCCUCUAAGCAGGGUAUGCUAGCCUGGCCGGGAUGGCGGUCGGAUUUCCGGUCCCGGCCAAGGCUUAGGGAGUCUCGCUGCAGCAGAUCGGGGAGCUUGGCCUGCAUGUGCCUCCCGCAGAACCCCCCACCCUGUCCUGGCCUUCCUCAUCCUGGCCAGGACGCUGCCCCACGUUGAGUCCCACACAAUAACCUGUGAGCCUGUCUCCCCAGGAGGGCCUGUCCCCAGGAAGGGGGUCACUCUGCGCCCCGAGACAGCUCCCAGGCACGUCUUAGGCAGAGCCUGUUGCCCCCCCUCCCCCACACCAUUCAGGAUUCCUAAGGUCUGGGGUCCUGCUCACCCCUCUUUUUUCCCCACGCCCAGCCUGACCCCAGGUUUCAGGAGAAGCCACUUCCCUGAGCCAAGGACAAUGAGAACCCCCAGGGUAGAGGAGGAGGCUGGGGCAGGUCCCCCUGGGUGUCACUCCCUCUCUCCCACCCAGGCCCACUCUUGGUAUGCUGGGGUAGGUACUGGUGGGGGGCCCCUGCCCAGCCUGGCCUGGAGGUACUGAGUGCCACCAGAGCCAACAACACAGAUGGGUUCUGCAGUCCAGGGCCCCUGACGCGGGGUCUGUGUGUGUGGGGUGAAGUGACCCCAUGCAGGGUCAGUGUGUGGGCCCCAGGGACCCCAAUGUGGGGUCAGCGUGUGGGGGCUCAGGGACCCCAAUGUGGGGUCAGUGUGUGGAGGGUGCAGGGACCCCAAUGUGGGGUCAGUGUGUGGAGGGUGCAGGGACCCCAAUGUGGGGUCAGUGUGUGGAGGGUGCAGGGACCCCUCAUGCCCAGGGAACUUUGGAGCACUGUCCCACAAGGCACCCCUGUCUCAGAGGAGGGGUCCUGGUGGGCAGUGGUCAAUUCCUUUCCACAAUCCAGCUCCACACUCACCUGCCCACUGCAACCCCACAGAGCCACGUCCCCACCUGCACCCAGUCUGCAGGGGUGUCCCAGGACAGACUCAAGCCAGUCUGGCAUGCAGCUGCCCUCCUCCUCUGAGGAUAGGAGUGGGCUCUCCAGGGGACAUAAAGACUCCAGGACUGGACCUCCAGGCAGGAAAGGAAGCGGGUCCUGAAGGCCUGUGCCCCACAGCCUCAGUACCAGGUGGUCUGCAGCGUAGUGGGUGGGCCAGUGGCAGCCAAGGAGAACCUCUCCCCCACCCUGUUAGGAGGCUGGGGUCUGCCCACCAGCGCUGCCCCAUGUCUGCCUCUGAGGGUGCCUGCCAUGCCCAGAGCAUGGGGUUUCCUGGCAACUUUACAGGACUGGAAGCAGGAGACAGAACAGUGUCUGUCCCAGGGUGACCUCAUCAGGAGACCGCCCAUGCAGAGCUGGACCCCGCAGCUAAAGCAGAACUGUGAGACAGGCUGGGAUCUCUGGAAAAACUGCCUCUCAGCCUUGGGGUUCCAUGAAAGGUGAAAAAAAAUAGAUCCUCCAAGUUUACAGCUUGAAAUCAGGCUACAGUGUGGCCCUGGAGACCACGAGGGGAGAAGGUAGAGUGGUCCCCGGUGGCAGGGUCUAUCUAGGUGGCUGGCGGAGGCACAGGCAGACCCUGCCUGGAGCCCGCCCUGGUGACGCUGGUGGAUCAGUCUCUUUGCAGGAUGUGAGCAGCAUCCCUGGUCUCAAUCCACGAGGUGUCCACAGCGUGUACAGGGACAUACAUGUGCGUGCACACACAGCUGUGACACCCAGAAAUGUCUCAGGACAUUGAAAUGUGUCCUUGGGGGCUGAAGUGUGCCUGGUUGAGAAUCUGCCCCAGGGGAACACACCCACCAGGCCUCAGGAUUUUGUGUUAAGUUCCAAGGAAAAGGAACAUCUCGACUGGGCAUGGUAGCUCAUGCCUGGAAUCCUGGUACUUGAGGCCAGGAGUUCGAGACCAGCCUGGGCAAUGUAGGGAGAGACCCCCAUCUCUAAAAAAAAGAAAAAGAAAAGAGAAAGAAAAAAGAAAAUGAGUCCUCCAGUUUAAAAAAAACUCAUAAACACCACAAGGAAACAAUACACUCUGAGACCAAGCAGAAACAACAGAUAGACUCUGUAGACACAGAUACUGGAAUUAUCAGAGAGAACAUAAAGUAGCAAUGCUUUAUAUAUAUACAGAAACAGAGAUUUCUGAAAAUAUGAAAAAAAUACAUAGGCUGGUCGCGGUGGCACAUGCCUGUAAUCCCAACACUUUGGGAGGCUAAGGUGGGCGGAUCACGAGGUCAGGAGAUCAAGACCAUCCUGGCUAACACAGUGAAACCCUAUCUCUACUAAAAAUACAAAACAUUAGCCAGGUAUGCUGGCACGUGCCUGUAGUCCCAGCUACUCGGGAGGCUGAGGCAGGAGAAUCACUUGAACCUCGGAGGUGAAGGUUGCAGUGAGCCAACAUUGCAUCACUGCACUCCAGCCUGGGCGGCAGAGAGAGACUCCAUCUCAAAAAAAGUGGGGGGGGGGGGGCUAGAUUUGCAAUAAUAUUAAAAACUGAGAUCUCAGCAUUUAAUAGUGUAAUCUUAAACGUGUAAAGAACACACAGUACUUUUCACAAAAUGUUAUCUUCAGUAUAAAAGAAAUCGAUGGGGCGGUGUGCAGUGGCUCACACCUGUAAUCCCAGCACUUUAGGAGGCCGAGGCAGGCAGAUCACCUGAGGUCAGGAGUUCAAGAAACAUAUGGGCUGGGUAGAGUGCUUCAUGCCUAAUAAUCUCAGCACUUUGGGAAGCUAAGGCAGAAGGAUAGCUUCAGCUCAGGAAUUUCAGAUCAGCCUGGGCAAUAUACCAAGGUCCUAUCUCUACUUAUGGAAAAAAAAAUAGCUGGAUGUGAUGGCACGUGCCUGUGGUCCCAGCUGCUCAGGAGGCUUUAGUGGGAGAAUUGCUUGAGCCUGGGAGGUCAAGGCUGCAGUGAGCCAUGACUGCCACCAGGUUCCAGCCUCAGCAACAGAAACAUGAUCAUUGCACAUCAUCUAAAUCACCCAUGGUUUUUUUUUCCUCAUCUGGAAGCAGGGACACUGUCCCCCAACACACGCACUUCCCGAGGUUGUCAAGAGACCACGUAAAUGUUUGGUAAACUGGGAAGCCCCAGCAGAGAUGCUGGAGCCAGGUUAUUACCGCCCUGCUGUUUGCCAUUAUCUUCCAGGCCUGUGUCUCUCUGCCCAGCUAGCCUGGGUCGCCUGCUCCUGCCCCCAACUGGAUGGGGUGGGAUUACAGCCUUGGCUAGCUACAAACCCCAUAACCUGAGAUAGCAGGGCCCAGGCAUAGAUGGCCUAGGGCAUGGCUUUGCCCAUUUUGAGUGUCUGAGACACCCAGUGGGGCCACCCCAAUGCUGGCCAGGCUUUAUUUGCCAGACAAGUUUGGGGUGACCAUGUUGGGGCCCAAAGGGACCCAGUGACAGUGAGAAGUGGGUCCUGCAGCCUCAGAUGCCCUGGGCCAGGAACGAGGAGUGCUACAAGGUGGGAAACAAGGAAGGAGCCACCCUGUCCUCCCUGUGAGGAGCCCCACACACCCCUCCAGCUGCUCCCCAGCUCUGCCCCUUCUCCCCUCCCCUUGCUCCCCUGUGGACCCAUCUGUCUAUCUGCCACCUCCCCUCCUCCUUCUGCCCUUCUCUCCCUGCUCCUGUUGGUGACAGGCAGGACCCCCCACUCACCACCCACUCAGCCUCCUAGAGGCAGAGCUGGUGCCCCUCAGAUACCCUGUCCCCCGGCGGGGGCUUGUCCUACAGACAGCCCUGGACCACCCCCGCCACACCUCCUCGUCCUAGCACAGAUGCCUGGCAACAAGGGAAGUUCAUCAAUUGGUAAGUUAGCCACGGGCAGGGCAGGGAACAGUCAGGCUGAGGCCUGAACUCAGAGUCCUCAGCGCUGUGAGGAUUUGCAGGCUCCUUCCCUGGUCUCUGUCUCCCCCACAGUCUGCAGAUCAGCUUUGUGCUCUCACAGCAGCUUCCUUCACAGGGUUGGAAUCAGGCUGUUGGCAGCGCGAGGCUUCCAUCUUCCUGGCUUCGGCCCCAAGAAAGGAUGGAGCUCCCCUCCAUUAGUUCCUAUUCAGAAAAUUCCAGAAGCAAGUUUCUGCUUGGUUUGGUUUGGUCUGGGCUGGCUGGGUAGCUGGCACACUAAAAUGGCCAGGCCCUCUAGUGUCACGUGGUUGCAGUAGGAUGGGGAGAUGUAUUUGUCAGCUCAUGGUGCCACGCCAAAGUACCAUAGCCUGGGUGCCUCAGACCACAAACACUUAUUUCUCACAGUUCUGGAGGCUGGGAAAUCCAAGAUCAACGUGCCCACAAGGUUGGUUUCAUUGUGAGGCCUCUUCUCUUGGCCCAUACGUGGCUGCCAUAUUGUGUGCUCAGGUGACCUCUUCUUUGUAUUUGUGCGGAGAGAGAGUUCACUCUCUGGUGUCUUGUCUUAUAAGGACACGAAUCCUACUGAAUCAGGGCCCCAUCCUUAGGACCUCAUUUAACCUUAAUGACUUCCUGAGAGGCCUCAUCUCCAAAUACUGCCACACAGAGGAUUAGGCUUCAACAUAAGACUUUGGAGGAGAAAGAGACAUUCCGUCCAUGAUGGGAAGAAAAACUAUUCAUGAAAAAGCGGUGCAGUGGCCAGAAAAUGGGACAGACAAAACUACAGAUGCCCCCCAUUUCCCCCAAUACAUCACACACACACACACACACACACACACACACACACACACACACACGGCCUGCCUUUGCCCCUUCCCCACAAGGCCACUCCCCACCCCAUGAUUAUUUACCUCCCUCCUACCCUGCUCUCUGGAGCUGCCCCUUCCCCUAGUGCUCCUGUGGCUCACCUAAUGCCAGGUGCAGGUAGAUGCAUGUAAAUGUAGCCCGGGGCUGGGGGCCUCCUGGACCAUGUGUGUCCUGGGCCCCACAUGGGACUGGGCAGGAAGUGGGUCUCACCCAUGUCUACUGUCCUCAGGCAGAGCCUGGCCCUGGGACAUGAGCUCAGUGGGUGCUGCAGCUUUGUUGAAUUCACCUCAGACCCCCACUUCCCCACCAUCCACUUAUAAGGUUCCCAGGGCCUUGAUACCUCUGUCCUUGCAAGAAUAGAAUGCGAUUAUGCAGCUCACACGAACCUGCUGGUGGCUUCCUACAGUAAAACGAUAUAAUUUUCUAGUUAAAGAGAGUCUACCAAGCGACUAGCACAGUGAAUGAAGACAGACCUACAACAAGGCACAACAUUGGGAAACUUCAGAAAAGGACUAAGGAUAGAGAGAAAAUUCUGAAACCUUCCAGAGAGAAAAGACAGGUCAUAUACAAAGAAGCAAGACUCAGCAUGACACCGACUUCUUCCCAACAACACUGGGAGCUAGAAAAUAAUAGAGCAACAUUUCCCAAGUGAGGAGAAGUUACACUUAAAUUAGAGCAUUAUUUCCAGUCAAACUAUUAAUCAGGAGUGGGGAUAAAACAAUGACAUGAUAAAUAUGCGAAGGUCAGAAAGCUUGACUUCCAUUCACUCUUUUCAUCUCUAGUAAACACUAUUCUAAGCAAAUAGAUCUUAAAUGUUCUUACCACAAUAAUAAUAAGUAUGUGAGGUGAUGGAAAUCCUAACUUGAUUUAAUCAUUUCCCAAUGUAUGCAUAUAUCAAAACAUCACACUGAACAUUGUGUAAAUAUACACAAUAUUUACAAAAAUACACAAUAAAAUUGAGUAUUUUUAUUUAUCAAUUAUACUUUAA